UGGUCUAAUACUUCAUAAUAUCCAUCUCGUAUGGAUUAAAGCUUUAUGCGCUUUGGGAGGGGCCUGCGUAACAUUAGCUAGUUGGUGAGGUAAAAGCUCACCAAGGCUUCGAUGUUUAACUGGUUUGAGAGGAUGACCAGUCACACUGGGACUGAGAUACGGCCCAGACUCCUACGGGAGGCAGCAGUAAGGAAUCUUCCACAAUGGGGCAACCUGAUGGAGCAAUACCGCGUGCAGGAUGAAGCGUUUUGGCGUGUAAACUGCUUUUAUCACCGAAGAUUAUGACUGUAGGUGAAGAAUAAGGACCGGCUAACUACGUG
rnacentral:rRNA from 1 species